GAUGAACGCUAGCUACAGGCUUAACACAUGCAAGUCGAGGGGCAGCGGUAUCGGAAGCUUGCUUUCGGUAGCCGGCGACCGGCGCACGGGUGAGUAACGCGUAUCGAACCUGCCUCAUACUCGGGAAUAGCCUUGCGAAAGUAAGAUUAAUGCCCGGUGUUUUCAGAGUCCCGCAUGAGGCUUUGAACAAAGAUUUAUCGGUAUGAGAUGGCGAUGCGUCCCAUUAGCUUGUUGGCGGGGUAACGGCCCACCAAGGCGUCGAUGGGUAGGGGUUCUGAGAGGAAGGUCCCCCACAUGGGAACUGAGACACGGUCCAAACUCCUACGGGAGGCAGCAGUGAGGAAUAUUGGUCAAUGGGCGGAAGCCUGAACCAGCCAAGUAGCGUGCAGGAAGACGGCCCUCCGGGUUGUAAACUGCUUUUAGUUGGGAAUAAAACGGGGCUCGUGAGCCCCCUUGCAUGUACCAUCAGAAAAAGGACCGGCUAAUUCCGUGCCAGCCGCCGCGGUAA
rnacentral:rRNA from 1 species